GAACAGCAUGGUGAGGGCGUGGUGGUACGGGGAUCUCGGAGGGUAAUAGAGACAGGACUUAGGGAUGCGGAAAUUGCCAAUGUCCCGUUUAUGGCCAGCAGCCGCGGUAAUAUCACUAGUGAAUUC
rnacentral:rRNA from 1 species